rnacentral:lncRNA from 1 species
ACCCAGGCAUUCUGGUCUAGAGUCCUUGCUGGGUACCACUGUGCUGUCCUGCUGCCCGGUGGCACUCAGGCUGGCUUUGGUAUUCCCCUCUGGUUUUUAUCAGAUAGAGUCAAGACUGACAUCUCAGCAAGCUCUGUAAACCAUCCUAUUAAGGAAAAAUCUUACAAGGCAGGAAGUUAUUACUUUGAGGACGUGAGUUGGGAAUCCUCAUUCACACACAUCUAUUCAAGAAUCAUCAGUGGAGGCAGCCAUUCAUCAGGCCAUCCCACCUGGAAUAUGGGGUUUCAACAGGGAAAUAGUGGCUACUCCUCUCAAAAAAUGGAAAGCAAAUGCAUAGAAAAUGAGAAUGCCUCUCAUAUCCUGCCUGCUCCUCAGAAGUCAGAUGCUGAACAUUUUGUGAUGUUAACUAAGAGACAGAAGAAUAAGAGAACAAAUGGCAACUCUUCUUGGUGACUCCUGGACAGCGUAGAACAUCUCAGUGGUCCUUUAUGCUGCUUAGUUGGAUAACUCACUUUCUACACAUUUCUAUGUUGAUAACUCUUACAUUUAUAUUUUCAUCCUGACUGCUUACCAGAGUUUUAGUCCCAUUGUGGGACUUUG